UGAAUCGUAUUGCUAACACAUGUGUGUAUUUACCUUUUUUUACUCACAACAAAAAAAUUUUACAAAUUCCAAAAUACUUGACUCCAAAUUGUAAAUGUUGCGAAAACGCAUCACUGGGAAAAUACGUUAUCUGUAUUUUGGUCGAAAUAGCGCUCGAGUUGCCAACGGUAUCAGCUAGAGAUAUUGCGGUUUAGGCUUGUGUGUUUGUGUUUGUGUGUAAGAAAGUUUUUAGUAAUAUUGAAUUUUAAUCGGUGCUAAGUGUAUGUGUAUUUUCGAAAAACAUGCCUAAAUUUCUUACGCAAAAUGAGCUGGAGAGUGCUUUAUAUGAAGUAGUAGAUGAAUUGGAAGCAGAACAUUCCGGAGAUGUUGUUGAAAUUGAUGCUGUUUAUAUUUCUCCAGAACCAGAUAGCUUGACUGACGAAGAAAAUAUAGAUGACGAUGUAAUUGCUGUAAACGAAAAAAACACCCAAAAUGAUGUGGACAUAGCGGGCACAUUUGAAUUAAGGUCCGUUCAGAGUGGAAGCGUCGCGUCGCGUCCAGCGUUCUGCCGCGUUUUGCGUCGCGCAGCGUUUCCUCGCGUCAGUACAUUCAUAGUACCGUCAGCGAAAGCGUCAGAAUAAGCGGUUUAAAAUUCAGUCUACAAAAUGGCUCCAAAAAAGACAGUUCGUUUAUGUGCGUUAAUGUUCUUGUUAGAGACACCAUUAUAUAGAUAUAAGAGAAAAAAAGUUGGAAUUCACCCCAUAAACAGGAGAAGACAUGUAUUUGGUAAAUUUUACCAUUUGUAUAGUAAGCUAGGAUUGUAUCCUGAUCGGUUUUUUAACUACCUAAGAAUGUCCGUCAAAACUUUUGACUAUUUGUUGGAAAAGGUUAGCCAUCGUCUGGAAAAAACUGUAACCAAUUUUGUAAAAAGGAGAUUUAUUUCACCUGUUGAACGAGUUGUUAUUACAGUAAUAAGGUUUCUUGCAACUGGAACUACUUAUAAACAUUUGGCACAUGAAUUUAGGAUUGGAUAUUCAACAGUCUCGAUAAUAAUAAAAGAAACAUGUUCAAUUAUUUGGGAAGAACUUGUAGAAACUCACAUGCCAAUUUGCACUUAACAGCAAUUGGAGAAAAUCAUUGACGGAUAUAAUACCCUGUGGAACUUCCCAAAUUGUUUCGGAUCGAUUGACGGGAAGCAUUGUCGUAUUAGAUGUCCACCUAAUAGUGGCACAACCUAUUUUAAGUAUUUAAAAUACUAUUCAAUCGGAUUGCAAGGGGUUGCAGAUGCCAACAAAAAAUUUAUUACUAUUGAAGUGGGUUCACGUGGAUCAGAAAGUGAUGGGGGAGUAUUUCAAUCCUCGGCACUUUACAGUUUGUUGGACACCAAUCGAUUCAAUGUACCUCCAGAUCAAGCUCUGCCGAAUUCCAAUAGUGUGCUACCAAAUGUUCUGAUAGGGGAUGAGGUAAUCCUUUAAAGAAAUAUUUGAUGAGGCCUUAUCCGCGCCCAAGAAAUGCAGUGUUAGAAAAUGAUAAGCAAGUCUUUAACGAUCGCUUAUCACGAGCUCGAAAAUGCAUAUGGAAUCUUAUAUCAGAAGUUCCGCAUUUUUUGAUACAAACGUUUUACUAAAACGAGAAACCGCUAUAAUUGUAAUCAAAUGCGCGUGCAUAUUACACAACUUAAUUCGUGACUUUGAUGGGAAUGCUGACUUGGAUUAUGUUUAUGUCGUAGAAAAUGCUGCUAAUGCAAGGCAAGGCAAUGUAAAUAAUUUAAAUGUAAGAAACAACUGAGCCUCUAAACUUCCUACAGGAAUUCGAGAUUCAUUUAAGGACUAUUUUAGUAACAACCCUCUUUAGAUUAGUAAAAAAUUAUUUUAUUUUUUUUUUAAUUUUAACAACUAACACAACUAGCGCCAUCUAUCAAAAAUACAAAAACUGUAUGCAUAAUUUUAUUUUUCUUUUUAAAAAAAUUGUAUGUUCUAAAUUUCAUGUAAAUAUGUCAUUUGGCUCCGGACCUAUGAGAAAAAAGCGAUAAAUUGAAUAAUACUUUGACACCCUGUAUGUCAGUUACUAUUAAAGUCAGUGGCGGCUUUUGGGGUAGAGCCACAGUGCCAUGGCUCUACCCAAUAAUCGUUGAAAAUAAAAAAAAUAAUUUAUUUUUUAAAUUUUACUUCAGUCCAAAAAAAUAUCUGUAUAUUAAUAUUUAAUACCAAUUAUAAAAUUAAAAUACUGGAACGCAGCCAGUGCAAGAUUCCACAAAUUUCGCUAAUGCGGAAUCGAAGACGUAGUUGUCGCGCCAGGCCCCGUAUCGAUGCAUGUUACAUCGAAUAAUCACAGCAAAUGUCCUUGAAACAAUGUGGUAAAGCUACGGCAAAUUAAAUAAUUUUGGGCCAGGCUCCAAACCAAUAGAAUCUUUUCUAGCAAAACGUGCGUGAUAUUGUGUGUUUUGAUUAUUCAUCGGGCGUUCGCGGUUCCAUAGAGAUCUUUCAUUUUAUUUGGCUGGCGUUUUCGGCUUUGUUGGUGUUUUUUAUUUUUAUUAAAUAUUAAAAACAAUGAAUAAAAUUAGUUUUUUAAAAGCAAAUCCAUUUCCAAAUUAGAUCAAGGUUUGGCCCUACCUCCCUGAACUGUCACGAGCCGCCACUGAUUAAAGUUAGGAUAAGGCAAGUUGACCUAGAUCACAUUAUUUUGACGUAAGGAAUCUACUGUUGUUCUAUGUCCCAUUACUUUCGGGACACCCUGUAUAGCUUAAAUACACUCUCUUCGAGAAAUUUGGCUGCUUAGAUUAAAAUGAAACCGUCGUGUAAAAUAAUAACGUUUAUCUAGCUAGCUAUAAGAUAAUUUAAUUAACAACAUACUUACUUGAAAUACCCAAAAUUUCAGCCACUUCAGCAUACAGACGAUCCCUUAAAUGUUUGUCCUUAUACGAUCCCAAUUUCGUAUUCCACAAUGGCGGUCGUGCCUGUAUUUCGGUUCAUGUCACUCCCUGAAGUCAUCUUGACCAACUAACCACCACACCAUAAAACGCGAAAAAAAAACAAUCCUGAUUGAAUCGGACGCUGACGCUCGACAAACGCUCUUUACGACGCUAGACGCGCCGAGCCGCAAACGCUCCUACUCUGAACGUGUAUAUGCAAAUACAUUGGAUUGUUUUUUAACAGACGCGACGCGACGCUCGACGCUUCCACUCUGAACGGACCUUUACAGAUAAGACAGGACAAUGAAUUUGACUGGGAUUUGUCUGAUGAUGAGAGUUUGGCAGAAAAGAAACGGAAAAUCGAAAGGUCUAACACCAGCCAAUUUCAAAGUAGGGAAACUAAAAUGGAAAAAGGGUUCAAUUCCUAUGAUGUCCCAGCCUAUUUCGAAUGAAGGCCCUGUGCUUGAGAAAUUGGUAGAGUUACUCCACGGAAAGUCACCUUUAGACAUUUUCUUUUUGUUCUUUGAUGACCAAGUAUUAAAUCUUAUUGUAACAUUUUCGGAAAAAUAUGCAAAAGACAAUAAUCGACAUGAUUUUGAGUUGGAUAAAUAUGAAUAACUAAAGUUUAUAGGACUGCUAAUAUUUACAGGUUAUCAUAAACUACCACAAACCCAACUAUAUAUAUUGGUCAACUGAUGAAGACAAGGGGAUAGACAUUGUGAAAAAAUGUAUGAGUCGAAAUAAAUUUUACAAUAUAAAAAAAACCUCCAUUUGUCAGAUAACGCACAAUUAGAUAAAAAUGACAAGUUUUGCAAGCUUAGGCCAUUUUUUGAUCUCAUAAAUCAGAAAAUGUUGCAGUUUGGUAUAUUUUCACACUGUCUGUCCGUUGACGAAUAAAUGGUUCCUUACUUUGGCAGGCACUCCUGCAAAAUGUUUAUUAGGGGUAAACCCGUUAGAUUUGGUUUUAAAUUAUGGUGUAUUUGUUCGUCAGACGGUUAUUUAUAUCAGUUCAUUCCAUACGCAGGAGCAAAUCCAAAUAAACAAAAAUCCGUAUUAGGUAUGGGUGGGCAAGUGUUGAUUUAUUGUCUAUAGUGAAUGACCCAAUGCAGCAUCAGGUAUUUUUUGAUAAUUAUUUUUCUUCGUUUCAAUUAUUUUCAUAUCUUACCGAUAAAGGUUAUUUUGCGAGCGGAACUAUAAGGGAAAACAGAACCCUCCGCUGUCCUUUAGAAGGGACCAAAAGUGUUUCUAAACAAAAACGCGGCUACUACAUUUCGUCACAUGACACUGUCAAUGGGGUCUCAUUAGUUAGAUGGAACGAUAAUUCAGUGGUCACAGUAAAAAGUAACCAUUACAAUGACGAACCAUUAUACAGAGCUAAAAGGUAUGACCGUAAAGCAAAAAAAGACAAUCCUAUUCAGCAACCUAAUGUUAUCAAGAUGUACAACAAAUUCAUGGGGAGAGUAGAUUUCCACGAUAACGGGAUAGCCAAUUAUAGAAUAGGGAUAUCUGGAAAAAAAAUGAUGGUGGCCUUUGUUCGUUAACACUAUAGAUAGCACUUUAGUCAAUUGUUGGAAGGUUUAUAUCAUUGUCAGUGACAAAAAUAUUAGUCAACUAGACUUUAAAUCGUACAUUGCUCUUCGCCUGAUAAAAACUGAAUCUUCUAUUCGUACAUCUAUUACUACCCCUAAAGCAGUUCUUGAGCAAAGAUAUGAUAAUAUCGGUCAUACUAUCAUCACUAAAUUGCUCCACUCCAGACGUAGAUGCAAAAUAUGUAGUAGUCAAAUGGUAUUUUCAUGUAAAAAAUGCAUCGUGCCUCCAUACCGAUUGUUUUGAGCGUUACCAUAAAAAGUAAAAUUACGUUUUUUUUAUUCAUAUAUUUAUAUCCCUUUUUUGAAAACUAUUUUUUGUGUCAUAAUCUUCUUUUCUAACCUAUUUUAAUACAUAAUAAAUAUUGCUAUUCGAAAAAUUGUUGUUUUUUCAUGCCCUGGUAAAAUAUGAGUUAAUUUUUAAAAAAAUGUAUGUACACAUAA